AGUCGAACGCAACCUUCGGGUUGAGUGGCGGACGGGUGAGUAACGCGUGAGAAUCUGCCUUGGGGUCGGGGACAACCACUGGAAACGGUGGCUAAUACCGGAUAAGCCUUUGGGUAAAAGAUUUAUUGCCCCAAGAGGAGCUCGCGUCUGAUUAGCUAGUUGGUGAGGUAAAAGCUCACCAAGGCAGCGAUCAGUAGCUGGUCUGAGAGGACGAUCAGCCACACUGGGACUGAGACACGGCCCAGACUCCUACGGGAGGCAGCAGUGGGGAAUUUUCCGCAAUGGGCGAAAGCCUGACGGAGCAAGACCGCGUGAGGGAGGAAGGCUCUUGGGUUGUAAACCUCUUUUCUCAGGGAAGAAGCUCUGACGGUACCUGAGGAAUCAGCCUCGGCUAACUCCGUGCCAGCAGCCGCGGUAAUACGGAGGAGGCAAGCGUUAUCCGGAAUUAUUGGGCGUAAAGCGUCCGCAGGUGGCGAUUCAAGUCUGCUGUCAAAGCACGGGGCUUAACUCCGUUAAGGCAGUGGAAACUGAAUAGCUAGAGCGCCGUAGGGGUAGAGGGAAUUCCCGGUGUAGCGGUGAAAUGCGUAGAGAUCGGGAAGAACAUCGGUGGCGAAAGCGCUCUACUGGACGGCAACUGACACUCAGGGACGAAAGCUAGGGGAGCGAAUGGGAUUAGAUACCCCAGUAGUCCUAGCUGUAAACGAUGGAUACUAGGUGUAGCUUGUAUCGACCCGAGCUG
rnacentral:rRNA from 1 species